GACGAACGCUGGCGGCGCGCUUAACACAUGCAAGUCGAACGGAAAGGCCUGCUUUCCCUUGUGGAUUGCGGGUACUCGAGUGGCGAACGGGUGAGUAACACGUGAGUGAUCUGCCCCCAACUUGGGUAUAAGCCUGGGAAACUGGGUCUAAUUCCCGAUAGGACUGCAGGGUGGUGCCUGUGGUGGAAAACGAUUUUCUAGUGGGUGGGGAUGAGCUCGCGGCCUAUCAGCUUGUUGGUGGGGUAAUGGCCUACCAAGGCGGCGACGGGUAGCCGGCCUGAGAGGGUGGACGGCCACAUUGGGACUGAGAUACGGCCCAGACUCCUACGGGAGGCAGCAGUGGGGAAUAUUGCACAAUGGGCGGAAGCCUGAUGCAGCGACGCCGCGUGGGGGAUGACGGCCUUCGGGUUGUAAACUCCUUUCGACCGCGAGGAAGCCACCUGGUUGGAAGGGUGGUGACGGUAGUGGUAGAAGAAGCACCGGCUAACUACGUG
rnacentral:rRNA from 1 species